CAGAGGACAUCAUGUUUAAUACGGUUCCGGAAAAAUCCAGUCAGAAGUUGUUCACGGAGUUUUCACAAUAACUGCUUCUCAUGAACCGAAGCUGGAUUUGCGCGACGUCUCCUCUUGAAAGUUGGAUUACUGUGCACUUCUGGAUCACAGACUGUAAGUAUUCAUGUUUAUUAUUUGCCUUUUACUGUACAUUACGUAACCGGUAACCGGAGAUUAACAUAAUGUGCGUGUAGAGCUAAGCUUGCAAGCUAAUUGUUUUGUGUUGUAAUACUGUAUUUCAUAAACAACGUACCAUAUUUACACACGUGUAUGUUGAAUUAUGCAGGCUUUCGUUUUUUUUAUCGAUGUUGGUUUAGACAUGUUUACAAACUUGCUAAGUUUCUAAGAUAAAUACAAAUACAAAUGCCAGCUAAACUGUUACCGGUAAAAUUUGUUCUCAUGAUCAAACUCAAGAAACUCUAAGUACAGAUGAUUUGUUUAAAGUUAUAUGUAUUUUACUGUUGUAUUUACUUGAAGCUUUCUUAGAUUUUGAAACGAAGUAAACACGUAAUGUGUGUUGCUAAUGUUGGGCCAUGUAAUAUGUAAUACAUUUACGUUUUAAUGAAUAGUCUAACGAUUUAUAGUCGUUGUACUCUAUUGUUAUAAUAUUUCUUUUUGACUGAAUACAUGUUUGUUUUAUUUGUCUAUAUCCUAGAUUCGCAGCUGUACACAUCCUUCUACACUGUAUGCAAACAUGCAACAUCAUUACACACAGUACAAGGAGUCAGACUGGCAUAUGAGGAGCAAAGGAACCCAGGCAGUAGCAUCGUUUCACAAUGUUUCCAUCAUCAUCAUCAGUGGAUGCCUUUGCCGUCCGUAGCCUGAGAUUUCAGAUUUGCAGCAAAAAAAAAUGAUUUUCUCAUUUAUUGGAAUGCUGUGCAGGUAUUUGUACCUUGCAGCCAUCCAUUACAAUGUCACCAAGCCGUAACAAAAGCAGGAGAGGGAAAGUACAAGGCUAUGUUCCCAAAACACAAAUGACAUACCUUAUGUGGAGGAUGUGAUCAGGCUUGUGUUUGAUGAGGUAUUUGAAG